ACCACACCCAUGCAUUAAUAACGGCGUUAUUAUACUGUUCUCACACGUAUGUCACUGUUAACCCAGCCCUCUUCUGACCGGUGGGAUUUGUCCCGUAGGCGCAUGCCCAGUAUGCGCUGUGUGUGACCACCAGUUCUCCAUCUCCUCCACUAUUCGGCCUGUAUAUGAGCGGAUCACGAGAGAGAGCCGCAUACGCUAAUGUAGCCGACACAGAGGGUCUCAUGGAGCUUGUCAAAGCGGCAGUGUUUUAUUUGUCUUUUCGUUCACAAUGCACUUUAGGAUUUCAAUAAGAUGUAUGUGUGUUUUGAGAUAGUGACUUUUCUUCUCGCCUUCAACUUCUACGAUUUGGUUCUUACUCAGGAUUCGUCCUGCUGCCACCAUGCUGCGGAACUCACACCAUGUAGGGAAGCAUGCGAUCAGGUAAGGGAGGCCACAGACUGAACACACACACACACACAGUUUAAAGUAGAGCACAAGAGUGAGAGAACUUUAGCCCCAGCACAAUGGUCUCCGUAUUAUUUGUAGCUCAUAAAUAAUGACUAUUUGAUGAAGAGCACUGAAAUGUAUUUUUUUCUCUGUCCUUUGAAGUGUAGCGAUGAGCGCUAGAAUAACAAUUCUGCCUGUCUCCCAUUUGAGUUAGGAGCAGGUGAGGGGUCUAUCUUCUUUUGUUCCUCUUAUGCCCUCUCUCGCUCUCUAGCUCUCUCUCUCUCUCUCGCUCUCGCGCUCUUCAGAUGUAAGAUCUUAAUUUGAUCACUCUAUUGUUUCCGAGAAUGUUCCUGCACAGCAGGUAAUGCAAACUUUAGAAAACGCUGAAAAACUCAAAUACACUACAAGUUUGCAUUUCCUCUUUGAAAUGUUAGACUUGAUUUGCCCGAACAAAAAAGGUAUCGAUCCCUACAAAAAUGUCCAUGAAUUAUAAUCCACAUAAUAAUUCACAUUUCCCGUUGCUGCAGGAUUAUUUUCCUGCUGUAGCAAACUAUCUCAAAUUAAGAUCCUACAUCUGUAUCUCUGCAUCUUAUUCUUAUUUAUUGUAGUGAAGGAAUCUGCCAAAGCAGUGCACAAUUUCAUGGAUCCUUGCCUUCUGUGUCUCACUAAGACAUGAAAGAGACAUCUGAAAGGCUUUUUAUUUUUUAUGGAACCGAAAAAGGGCAGACCCCUAGCCCAUUUCAGUAGGCUAUUACUGAUGGCGUACCACCAGCACCACUCUCCCCCUCCCCUUUACAGAGAGAGAGAGACUCAUUGAUGCUGUAGUGUUGAACCACGCUCAGCAAGGUCGCCCUGUCCCCAGCACUGCACCUGCCACUGAGGGGGGGAGAUCCAAAUUAUAGAGGGGGGAGAGAAAGUAAGAGAGUGACAGACAGAGAGAGAAAGAAGGGGGAGAGGGCAGAGAUAUAAUGUCCGUCUUGUUCGCGUCCCUGCAAGCGGCUGUGUUUCUGCAGAGAAAGUGUUUUUUUUCAGGGGUGUGCCACAGGGCUCCGUCCGUGUAAACAGUGUUCCAUUUCUUCUUAGGGGAUGACUACCUCUUUGAUGAGGGGAGGCCUUCAGUCUCUGAAAGGACAAGGUCAUUCCUCUUUGGAUGUUUCAGUCUGGCACCCCACAUUUAUUUAUCUUUCAAAGUUGGACUGAGAAAGAGAGAGAAGUUUUAUAUACUGAACAAAAAUAUAAUAUAAAUAUAAAUGCAACGAUUUGAAAGUUUUUACUGAGUUACAGUUUAUAUAAGGAAAUCAGUCAAUUGAAAUAAAUUCAUUAGG
rnacentral:lncRNA from 13 species